UUUUUUUUACCACAGAAAAAAUCUGCAAUUUGAGAUACUUGUACUGAGGAAAUACCUGCUGUUGAAGAAAAACCCAAGACUUGUUUAGGUAGAAACAACAAUACGCCGAUAGUUCAAAUUGCUGCAUCUAUUGGAGCACCCAUCGUCGUCAGGAAUUUUUCUUGAAUUUCCAGCAUUUCCAAAAAUGCACCUUGCAGGCAUGGAUUGAUUGUUGUAGCUUAACACAUGUUACAAGAUUAUUUAACCCUGAUGAGAAAUCACAAGAUGCAGUGAAUGACACUUGGGAGCAAUGAGAAGUGAGGGUUCUUUAGUGUGCCAAUGUCUGCUGUUCCAACCUUUACUCUCUCAACCAAAAGACCUCCAACUUUACAGCACCAGAAUAUAUGAUUAGCCACUGAGAAAAUUUUUACAAACUUUUCAUGUGUAACAAUAUUGCAAGUUUAUAGUGUUGUUCUACAUGUAAACAGCAUGUACAUCAUUUUUUAGACAUACAGAUGUGAUGAAAUAAUUAGGAACUCUAGUUAGUGUACGGUUAGUUUUACCCCACAUGUAUAUAUGUUAUAUCUCAUAAAAAAAACUAGUUAAAAAAUCAAAGUUUGUAUAUUAGGUAACAGGUAAUACAUGUAAAUAUUUAAAAUGACUGAGUGAAAUCAUUAUAAACAAACAUAUACAAGUAAAAUAUUUUUGUAUAUUAAAUUUCAUCAAUACAUGUAUUUGAUACCGAAUGGUACUGUUUGAUACUCCAUAGUUAAAUCUGUUAUAUCUGUCAACAUUUUGUCCUGAAAUGUGAAAUACUUUAUUAAUAAAGUAUUUUACCUGUG